rnacentral:rRNA from 1 species
AACGUAGGUGGCAAGCGUUGUCCGGAUUUACUGGGCGUAAAGAGCGCGCAGGCGGUCGUUCAAGUCGCGUGUGAAAGCCCCCCGGCUCAACUGGGGAGGGUCACGCGAUACUGAUCGACUGGAAGGCAGGAGAGGGUAGUGGAAUUCCCGGUGUAGUGGUGGAAUGCGUAGAUAUCGGGAGGAACACCAGUGGCGAAGGCGGUUGCCUGGAGCUUUGCUGACGCUGAGGCGCGAAAGCGUGGGGAGCGAUCCGG